GCCGGGUGCGGUGGCAUGUGCCUGUAAUCCAAGUCACUGGGAGGCUGAGGUUGGUGGAUCAAGUGAGCUGAGGAGCUCUGGGCUGCAGCACUCUAUGUCGAACGGGUGUCCACGCUAAGUUCGGUAUCGAUAUGGUGUUCCUGGGGGAGCCCGGGACCACCAGGUUGUCUAAGGAGGGGUGAACCGGCCCAGGUCGGAAACGAAGCAGGUCAAAUCCCCCGUGCUGUCCAGUAGUGGGAUAAUACCUGUGAGUAGAUGCUGCAGUGCAGCCUUGGCAAAACAUCGAGACCUAAUCUUUU
ensembl:misc_RNA Metazoa_SRP Metazoan signal recognition particle RNA